UGGUCUGCUGCUGGAUCCGCUUGAUGGUAGCUCCUUUAGGCCCCACCACUAAGCCUACCACGCGGUAUGGGAC